CUAUCUGUGUUACACUGUUGGAAACAAAUACAGAGGUUUUGUCUUUUGGGCGAAAGACCACCAUGCUUCCUCUCCAGUGGUCCUCUUUCCUUGGUGGACACACUCUUUUCACGACAUUUCGCCCGGUGGGCGGCGCUAUUAUACAUCAAGGUGCAGAAUGCUAUCUAUGGAGGAUUGACAUGGAUGUCCUGUACAUACUGUAUGAGCAAUGCCAGUGGAACUCGAGACGUAGCGGAAUUUAGCUCCAAAAAGGUUGAGCGGGAUAUGUUUCAAACAUCACAAACCAAGUGACGAGUUCUCUGACAGAAACCCGCCCGCUUCUCCAUCUCAGUUUGGAAGGGGCCAAUGUUCCAGUGGAGAUCCUUCUGCACAAGUGUAUCAAAGCUAAACCAAACAGUCAUCAAGUUCUAGCAACAGCUACAGCAGCCUCAUGGUGAACAUGGCAUAAAUAUGCAGUGUCAGAAAUGCUGUCAUUUUAUGAUGUUCAUGUUAAGCUGGAGGAGUGUAAAUGUGCCACCUUGAAGGAGGUCACUAAAGCACAGAGAGCAUCCCAUGUGUGUUAUGACGGACGUAAACUUCGGAUCCCUUAUAGCUCAGCAAAGAAGUUUCCCGUGCGCACCACAAAAAAUCCCGACAACUUUGUGUGGGAGCAUCUCUUCUCCAUGUCCCAUGGGAACUCAGCAACCACAUUUGGCAAGGAGAACGAGCAGGUGGCUUACACACUUCUAGAAAUCAAAUGUCCUGUUCUGAGAAAGAAGUGUGAGUCUCUGACUAAACUGUUCUCUGGCAAACUCACUGAUGUGAAACUGGUUGAUGCCUCAGUGGCAACCUAAUGGAGCCCGCGGGUACUAAUUGCAGGUGCAAAUGGGCAUGUUCUACACAGGACUGGAGAGAUGCAAACUACUUGUCUGGGCUCCAUCCAAGCAAGUUGUUAUUGAUGUGCCAUUUGAUGUGAAGUUCUGUGCUGAUGUUAUUCCUAAACUGAAGGCAUUCUAUUUCACACAUGCUGCCAAGGAUAGUAGAUGAGUUCCAGUCAUUCAGACUAACUCUGUGCUCCAAAUAUGUUAAUCUAUGUGGUAUUUAGACUCGGGGCCUAAUACUUUGUGUUUUUAAAAAGGUCUUGUAUUUUGUGCCUGGUAAAGCUCUCUCUGUCAGCUCUACCUUAUUAUCUAAGCAUAACUCUUGAUUUGUGUUUUUUUGUUGUUGUCUUGUACAGCUUUCUUCAUACAUGUUUAUCUAAUGGCUAAAUAUAACUCCUUGUGAUUUAUUAAUAUUUGAAAUGUACCUUGUAUAGCUCUUUAUUUUCAUAUGGCACUUAAUGAACUCAUCUAAGCAUACCAUAACACAUCUUGUACUUAGCAAAUUAUGGUGUUAAUAAAGCACAAUGAAAUUCCA